AAGGAAACGAGGAGGAGGACGAGGCUGCACCACCCUUAUCAGGUUCCAGUUCUCGGUGCGCCCCGUUCUGCAAGACACUCUCCUGUGGUCAGCCCUGGUCUGCAGAGGAUUCCCGCGCUGGAUCUCUGAAGGAUGCUGGCGCCCUCUCUGCAGCACAUUCCUGAUGCCCUUGCUGACACGUGUCCUCUGGGCCCUCUCCUGAAACCUGAUUCUCCGGGGUGUCUUCUGGCCUCACCUCUUCUGUCCAGUUCCAGCAAGCUCACUUUGCUUAGCCUUUGAAUCCCUUCCUUCACUGUCUGCCAUGACAGUUCAGGCCUUUCACCGUCACUCAGGCCUGGACCAUCACUGUUGCCCAUCCCAUGCCAUCAACAGGUUUGCCCCAUCCCUUCGGCUCCCUACCAGGGCAUUCAGUUGUGUUGAGCAGCAGAGUGUCUCCAAGUCCCCACUGGUUGAGCUGCAUCCGGGUCCCAUCCCACAGGGACCCCCUGGCCGCUGCAGAUGCAUGCUGAUCCUGCAGCUCCUCGAGGGUGUCAUCGCUUUCCCCCUUCCCAGACCCAGCACACCCUGCCUGCAUGGCGCUGCGCUGCACCUUCACUCUGGUCACGGGUCUGGCAGUCAGCUCACCAAUUCCUCCUGCUUCCCUGGGACUUGCCGGCUUUUAGCACUGCAAUUCACUCAGCAAACUGGGACUGUUGGUCACCCUACCUGGCAGCCAGUGAUAAGGUUUUCCCAACAGGGCUGGUGUCAUUGGCAUGACAGACCUGCCUUGGCUGAGCGUUCACCUGUCUUUGGAGUUCAGCCACCUUAGCAAGUCCUGGGUUUGUUCUUCAGACUUUGCUGCUCGCCCAUUGCCUGGAUCGGGGGCUACUUUGUAAACCACCAGGAAGACUCCAGUGUUUCUGGUUAAUUUUUAGAUGUUUGUUAAUUGCUCUUGGUCUCUCAUUAAUCCCCUGUGGGUCAUCCAGGAAACAUACUCACCACUGUCUGUUCUCUGAGUUUUCAUUUCCAGGCAUCCGCCCUGCCUGGAUCUCCUCACCUGCCAGGAACUUCCUCUCCACAAGCCGGCCAUCCCAGCAAAAGUUCUAACACCAAAGGUCUGGCAACUAGCCUGCCAUCUUGUGCCUGGAGCCGCCUGCGUGCCACCUACUCCCGAAGAUGGGAACCUUGUUGCCAGUUGGGCAGAUGCGGGGCAAUCCUGUACCAAGACCCCAUUUUACCACCUGCUUUCUCAGACCACUCUGGAACCCACUGUCUCAGAUUGUGUCCUCCAGGAAGCAGACCAUGAGAGGGAGUUGGCAGGGCCAAAGAUUUACUGGGGCUAACUAACACUCAGGAAAGGGAUAGGAAGGAAACAGGGCUGGAGAGCAGGUUGAGCCCGACCUGACAGUCUCGAGCAGCCCAACAGGGAGGUGUGGAGCAAGGGUUGCCCACUAGAGGGGCCUGCAUUGGGUACGGGUGAUGGGGUCCACAUGGUACCUGGCAUAUAGCAGGCUGUGCAAUCCAUAUUAACUGACUGGAUAAAUUAAUGCCCAGAAAAGGUGCCCUGGAGAAUGGGUGUGUGCUGAACACAAUAGGGAAGGGCCCAGCAUCUGCCUUGGCAUAGGCAGAACUGUGCUGUGCCCUGCAACAGGCCACCUGAGAGCUGCUUUGAUCUUGUGUGUACAUUAGAUGACUGCCAGGGGCAUGAAGGGGAUGUGCUUCCAGGGCAUUUGCUGGCAGGGCGUCUCGUGAUCUCUUGGUAUUGGUGUGAGCACAGCCUGGCAGGAGAGGGCAGAUCUCCAUGCAAAGUAUGUCAGAAAGCAGAUGGAAGCCAGGCCCCCUCCUGAAAGAGGCUCCUUGAAGGCUCCUGGGACCACAUUAUCAUUCUCUUCACUCGAGAGAUGAGGACACUGAAAUUCAGAGAGGGGAAGUGAUUUGCCUCAGCUUGUACUAGUCCUGAACUCCCAUCCCUACCUCAG
rnacentral:lncRNA from 1 species